rnacentral:rRNA from 1 species
AAAUUGAAGAGUUUGAUCAUGGCUCAGAUUGAACGCUGGCGGCAGGCCUAACACAUGCAAGUCGAACGGUAACAGGAAACAGCUUGCUGUUUCGCUGACGAGUGGCGGACGGGUGAGUAAUGUCUGGGAAACUGCCUGAUGGAGGGGGAUAACUACUGGAAACGGUAGCUAAUACCGCAUAACGUCGCAAGACCAAAGAGGGGGACCUUCGGGCCUCUUGCCAUCGGAUGUGCCCAGAUGGGAUUAGCUAGUAGGUGGGGUAACGGCUCACCUAGGCGACGAUCCCUAGCUGGUCUGAGAGGAUGACCAGCCACACUGGAACUGAGACACGGUCCAGACUCCUACGGGAGGCAGCAGUGGGGAAUAUUGCACAAUGGGCGCAAGCCUGAUGCAGCCAUGCCGCGUGUAUGAAGAAGGCCUUCGGGUUGUAAAGUACUUUCAGCGGGGAGGAAGGGAGUAAAGUUAAUACCUUUGCUCAUUGACGUUACCCGCAGAAGAAGCACCGGCUAACUCCGUGCCAGCAGCCGCGGUAAUACGGAGGGUGCAAGCGUUAAUCGGAAUUACUGGGCGUAAAGCGCACGCAGGCGGUUUGUUAAGUCAGAUGUGAAAUCCCCGGGCUCAACCUGGGAACUGCAUCUGAUACUGGCAAGCUUGAGUCUCGUAGAGGGGGGUAGAAUUCCAGGUGUAGCGGUGAAAUGCGUAGAGAUCUGGAGGAAUACCGGUGGCGAAGGCGGCCCCCUGGACGAAGACUGACGCUCAGGUGCGAAAGCGUGGGGAGCAAACAGGAUUAGAUACCCUGGUAGUCCACGCCGUAAACGAUGUCGACUUGGAGGUUGUGCCCUUGAGGCGUGGCUUCCGGAGCUAACGCGUUAAGUCGACCGCCUGGGGAGUACGGCCGCAAGGUUAAAACUCAAAUGAAUUGACGGGGGCCCGCACAAGCGGUGGAGCAUGUGGUUUAAUUCGAUGCAACGCGAAGAACCUUACCUGGUCUUGACAUCCACGGAAGUUUUCAGAGAUGGAAUGGUGCCUUCGGGAACCGUGAGACAGGUGCUGCAUGGCUGUCGUCAGCUCGUGUUGUGAAAUGUUGGGUUAAGUCCCGCAACGAGCGCAACCCUUAUCCUUUGUUGCCAGCGGUCCGGCCGGGAACUCAAAGGAGACUGCCAGUGAUAAACUGGAGGAAGGUGGGGAUGACGUCAAGUCAUCAUGGCCCUUACGACCAGGGCUACACACGUGCUACAAUGGCGCAUACAAAGAGAAGCGACCUCGCGAGAGCAAGCGGACCUCAUAAAGUGCGUCGUAGUCCGGAUUGGAGUCUGCAACUCGACUCCAUGAAGUCGGAAUCGCUAGUAAUCGUGGAUCAGAAUGCCACGGUGAAUACGUUCCCGGGCCUUGUACACACCGCCCGUCACACCAUGGGAGUGGGUUGCAAAAGAAGUAGGUAGCUUAACCUUCGGGAGGGCGCUUACCACUUUGUGAUUCAUGACUGGGGUGAAGUCGUAACAAGGUAACCGUAGGGGAACCUGCGGUUGGAUCACCUCCUUACCUUAAAGAAGC